AUGGUGACCCUCUCCCUAACCCCACUCGCUAUUUGUCACCUUGUUGGCAGUCUUGUCUAUCUUGUUGUUACGCGUCCUGAUAUCUCCUAUCCUGUUCAUAUCCCGAGUCAGUUUGUUUCAGCCCCCACCUCUGUCCACUAUAGUCAUCUCCUCCGUGUUCUACGAUAUCUUCGUGGCACGCUCUCUCAGCGCCUUUUCUUUCCCCGCUCCAGCUCUCUUGAGCUCCAGGCCUACUCUGAUGCUACCUGGGCUAGUGAUCCCUCUGAUCGACGCUCGAUGUCUGCUUAUUGUGUCUUUCUUGGUGGCUCUCUUAUUGCCUGGAAGACAAAGAAACAGACUGCCGUUUCUCGCUCGAGUACAGAGGCUGAGUUGCGAGCCAUGGCUAUGCUGACGGCUGAGGUGAUCUGGUUACGGUGGUUACUUGAGGACUUUGGUGUGUCUGCUACUACCUCGACU
rnacentral:rRNA from 1 species